CACCCUGAGCUAAUCUCUCGCUCGCCUCUCCCUCUUCCCCGCACCACUCCUCGCCGCCGCCACCACCUACGGCGCCCGAUCCCGUCUGAUUCCGGCGUCCUCUGGCGGAGCCCAGCACACCACCGUGCCCCCCUCCCAACGCGCCUUCCUCCCAUCGGGCCAGAUCCGGCACGCGCGUCCUCCAGCGGCCAAGCGUGACCCUGCCCAGCAGCUAGGGUUUGGGCCAGCACGUCGCCGGGCAUGGAGCCUCCUCCCGCUGUCUCCUUCUUCUACAACUUCUCUUCGUCUCCUCUUGAUGUGUGCGCGUAUUGUGUCAAUGAAAGGAAUUCAAGGCCAUGGCCGGAGAGAGAGGAGCUGCUCCUAGUAUAUAUAGGACGCCAUGGAAGGUUAUCCUUGUUCUGUUCUUUUAAUUUUUUUUGUUUCUCUUCCCGAUCUAGACAUGUUGAACGCUCUGUUUUUUGCAGGUGCUGCUCCGAUGAGGAGAAACUGCUGCUGCAGGACGUCCUCCUCCCCUCCUACCCCCACCUAGGGCUCUCGGAGGAGGCGAAGCAAUGGGAUAGCCACAUCAUGAAGGGCUGCGAGGGAGAUAUGUCCAUCGAUUGCCUCAGGUUCUUCUUUGAUCGUAGAUUGUUUUCCUACGAUGCCGACCACAGAAUCCCAUAAUGUAUGUCCAUUGCCAAUCUAUGGAUCCUACAAAGAAGAUUGAGUAAGAGCUUAGAUGUGUCUGCAGAGGCAUAAAAAAACAUGGUGAUCAGAAGGAUUUGUACGGGUAAGAUGCAAACAGUGCUGGCCUAUAUUAGCAUGCAGUUCUUUUUUAUUUGUUCUUAUAAUUUAUCUGUUUCCCAGCAUAUAUCCCUGAUUCUUUUCAUCAAUCUAGCGGCGAAUCACCUCAUCCGAUUGACUCAUAUUGCAACAGGGAAAGGCAGAUAUGCCAUGGCCUUUGCCUCCAUCUGCCAUUGGCCUUUGUGUGUUUCCUUUAUUUGGGGGAAAACGAGAUUGAGAUGCAGACUAUGAAUAUCGCAGACUGAUAAUGUAAUUGGCCUUCUGCUCACAUUUUACAAAAUUGGAUAAUGAAGUGCAAUACAGGACUCUCGGCUAUGGAAUAAUUACUCUUUUGUAUCUCACUGUCCAGCCUUUGAUUCGAGGUAUGAGGAUAUAGGUAUGAAGGAGCAGCUCGGCAGUUACUUACAAAAAGGCUUUGGCACUCUCAUAAAUGGCUCCAUUUUUGUUUACCUUCUACUGAUCUGUAACAAAGAUGAUUUCUCUGUUGCCGUUGAGGAUACAAAGAUCUAGCUCGACUGGACUCUAGAUCACGGACAGUUUAGUCUUGGCCCUUAAUUAGGAUGGCUAAAUUACAUUUGAUGGAUAUUUGCUAUGAGAAUUAUGAAUUUUAUGAAUCCACAUAUUAUAUGUAUGGUUUUGAAAGUUGUAAUUGAAUGCCUAUAUUUUUUUUACGGUUGCAAUAGGCUAUUACCACAACCCACUUUUGGUUGCCACAUGUUAGCACCACGAAAAGUAUAAAUUGUCGCAAUAGUUUCUUGCAACAAACAUUUCACCCAUUGUGAUACCUAU